UGGAUAACUGUGGUAAUUCUAGAGCUAAUACAUGCAGAUAGCCCUGACUCCUUGUGAGCACGGGCGCAGUUAUUAGAUCAAAAACCAAUCGGCCGUACUUUCGGGUACGGUCGCUCGUUUGGUGACUCUGAGUAACCACAGCAAACCGCAUGGCCUCGCGCUCGGCGGUCUGUCGAUCAAGCAACUGCCUUAUCAGCUUGUUGUUAGGUUAUAUGCCUAACAAGGCGUCAACGGGUAACGAACGAUCGGGGUCGGACAUCGGAGAGGGAGCCUGAGAAACGGCUACCACUUCCAAGGAAGGCAGCAGGCGCGCAAAUCACCCACUUUCAGAACGAAGAGGUAGUGACGAGAUGUAUCGAUGCGGGGCUAUUAGUGCCUUCGUAAUCGGAAUGAGUACACUUUAAAUCCUUUAACGAGGACCUAUUGGAGGGCAAGUCUGGUGCCAGCAGCCGCGGUAAUUCCAGCUCCAAUAGCGUAUAUUAAUGCUGCUGCGGUUAAAAAGCUCGUAGUCGGACUUGGGUUUUCGGGGGGCAACACGGAUGGCCUUCGAGCUGUUCGUUGUUUGCUAUACGUGUCGCUUCGGCGGCACUGCCGGUUCGGUAUUGUCUCAUUGUAGGCAUGCUGAGCCGGUCCCCGAGACCACGGGCUGAACCGAGCGUCAAGCUCUUCAUUGAGGGUGUCGUUCGUUCAGGGCGUUUACUUUGAAAAAAUUGGAGGGCUCAAAGCAGGCGUACAGUUGCUUUAUGCAGCCUGAACAGUGGUGCAUGGAAUAAUAGAAUAGGACCUCGGUUCUAUUUUGUUGGUUUUAAGAAUUCGAGGUAAUGAUAAAGAGGGACAGACGGGAACAUUUGUAUUGCAACGUUA
rnacentral:rRNA from 1 species